rnacentral:rRNA from 1 species
UAGCGUAGGGGGCAAGCGUUUGUCCGGGAUUUAUUGGGCGUAAAGAGCUCGUAGGCGGCUCACUAAGUCGGAUGUGAAAACUCCAGCUCAACCUGGAGACGCCAUUCGAUACUGGUGUGGCUUGAGUUCGGUAGGGGAGCACGGAAUUCCUGGUGUAGCGGUGAAAUGCGCAGAUAUCAGGAGGAACACCGGUGGCGAAGGCGGCGUACUGGACCUCUUCUGACGCUGAGGCGCGAAAGCUAGGGGAGCAAACGGG